rnacentral:misc_RNA from 1 species
AUCAAAAUAUGUUUUGAUGUGUCGAGUUUGACGGAUAUCUUAACCUUUAAAAUCUUGAAUUUUAAUAUUUGAUAACUUGUUUUAUGAGACAGACUGCCGCAUUUUUCUGCUGGAUUCUUUCGUUUCGCGUUGAAUGAGUUCAUUUUUACUAAGAUUUGGAGUGGGGAGGUAUUCUAAAUAAAUACUGAAGUUUUACAUUGGAACAAGAGUGUCAUAAUUAUAAGACUGGUUGAACACAUAUAGUAUUUCCAUUUGAAGGAAGCUUAUUCCUGCUUUACGCGCACUUUUGCAUCAAGAAAAAAUAUGCGAAUUGUGCGAAAUGGAAUAUUAGAGAGAUAAUAAUGUUAAGCAAGAGACCUGCUCUGGCAAUAGAUGUGGUAGAAGGCUCUUUCAAAACUCUCCAACCAAAGAAGGAUCACCAAAAAAAAAAGCAUCUCUUAUACAUGUACAUAAAUAUAUUUUUAUUGUGAUUAUAUCGCGACAAUUUUAAAAAAAUAUGACAAAACAUUGUGAGAUACUUAAUUGUCCAAAUCGAAAUAAAGGAAAAGACAAGAUUCAUGUGUUUAGGCUAUAUUCCAAAAUGUUUCCAAAGAAAAUUUUUACUCGAAAUAUACUUAUAUACAUGUAUUAUAUACUAUAUUAUAUCAAGGGCGACGCUUUUUUCUGCCAGAUCUUUUGUUUUAUACAAAAAUAUAUCUAAUAAGCCUAAUUUCAUUGAUUUUUGGAAACCAGCUAAACCAUAUUGAGUAAAAUUUUCUUCAGAGAAGAUGUCUUGAAAUAUAAUCCUAGAAGUACUGUAUUAUGUUUAGUCUACCACUCAUACCUUAUAUUUGUACAUAAAUAUGAAGAUCAUAAUGGUAUAAAUAAUUUAUUUUUCCGCAAAUAGAAAGUAUAGCAGCUAAAUGGAUUGAAGCAACCGGACGGAAAAAAUUUAUACCUAACAAAUACAGUGCAAUUUGCGAUAUCCAUUUUAAAUUAGAAGAUUUUAGCAACACUACAAGAAGAGUACGUUUAAAACCAGAUGUAGUACCUACUAAAAAUUUAAUAAAUUGUACAAGUACAGAAAGAGUAAAAACAAUUAUAAGUGAAGUAAGAAAGCAAAUAAGUUCAAAUGAAAAAGAGAUAGAAAUCAAAUUCAUUCUGAAGUUAGAAGAAGACGAAACAAAUACAAGUGAAACAUUGAAGCGGAAUGAUGUACUCACAUUUCAAGAGAUGAAGAUGAAAAUCCAAAAAUUAGAAAAAAAAAAUGAAGAAUUAAUAAAUAAAUUACAAUCUUUGCAAAUAAAUUUAGAAGAAAAAAUACAAGUUCAAGCAAAUGUUUCCGAAAAAAAAUUACAAUGUCAAACAGCAAGGUUGAAAUGUAUUGUU